rnacentral:rRNA from 1 species
UACGUAGGGGGCGAGCGUUGUCCGGAUUCAUUGGGCGUAAAGAGCUCGUAGGCGGCUUGGUAAGUCGGGUGUGAAACCUCCAGCUCAACCUGGAGACGCCACUCGAUACUGCCAUGGCUAGAGUCCGGUAGGGGCCCACGGAAUUCCUGGUGUAGCGGUGAAAUGCGCAGAUAUCAGGAGGAACACCGGUGGCGAAGGCGGUGGGCUGGGCCGGAACUGACGCUGAGGAGCGAAAGCGUGGGGAGCGAACAGG